rnacentral:rRNA from 1 species
GACAGAGGGUGCUAGCGUUGUUCGGAAUUACUGGGCGUAAAGGGCGCGUAGGCGGCCCGCUAAGUUCGGUGUGAAAUCCCCCGGCUCAACUGGGGAACUGCGCUGGAAACUGGCGGACUCGAGUACCGGAGAGGAGGGUGGAAUUCCUGGUGUAGCGGUGAAAUGCGUAGAUAUCAGGAGGAACACCGGUGGCGAAGGCGGCCCUCUGGACGGAUACUGACGCUGAGGCGCGAAAGCGUGGGGAUCAAACAGG